rnacentral:rRNA from 1 species
AUUGAACGCUGGCGGUAGGCCUAACACAUGCAAGUCGAACGGCAGCACAGUAAGAGCUUGCUCUUACGGGUGGCGAGUGGCGGACGGGUGAGGAAUACAUCGGAAUCUACUUUUUCGUGGGGGAUAACGUAGGGAAACUUACGCUAAUACCGCAUACGACCUACGGGUGAAAGCAGGGGAUCUUCGGACCUUGCGCGAUUGAAUGAGCCGAUGUCGGAUUAGCUAGUUGGCGGGGUAGAGGCCCACCAAGGCGACGAUCCGUAGCUGGUCUGAGAGGAUGAUCAGCCACACUGGAACUGAGACACGGUCCAGACUCCUACGGGAGGCAGCAGUGGGGAAUAUUGGACAAUGGGCGAAAGCCUGAUCCAGCCAUACCGCGUGGGUGAAGAAGGCCUUCGGGUUGUAAAGCCCUUUUGUUGGGAAAGAAAAGCAGCAGGUUAAUACCCCGCUGUUCUGACGGUACCCAAAGAAUAAGCACCGGCUAACUUCGUG